AGGUAAUAGAUACCCCGGUAGUCCACGCCGUAAACGAUGAAUACUAGGUGUAGGAGGUAUCGACUCCUUCUGUGCCGCAGUUAAACACAAUAAGUAUUCCGCCUGGGGAGUACGGUCGCAAGAUUAAAACUCAAAGGAAUUGACGGGGGCCCGCACAAGCAGCGGAGCAUGUGGUUUAAAUUCGAAGCAACGCGAAGAACCUUACCUAGACUUGACAUCCCCUGAAUUACUCGUAACUGAGGAAGCCCUUCGGGGCAGGGAGACAGGUGGUGCAUGGUUGUCGUCAGCUCGUGUCGUGAGAUGUUGGGUUAAGUCCCGCAACGAGCGCAACCCUUAUCAUUAGUUGCUACCAUUAAGUUGAGCACUCUAAUGAGACCGCCCGGGUUAACCGGGAGGAAGGUGGGGAUGACGUCAAAUCAUCAUGCCCCUUAUGUCUAGGGCUACACACGUGCUACAAUGGUGAGUACAGAAAGAUGCAAUCCCGUGAGGGGAGCAAACUCAAAACUCAUCCAGUUCGGAUUGUAGGCUGAAACUCGCCUACAUGAA
rnacentral:rRNA from 1 species